AUAAUAACGGUGACACCUUGAAGUCAAGCGCGGGAAUCAGAACAAAGGAAGACGAAGCAGAAGAGAAAUGGCAACGACCAGCAAGAGAAGGAAAUAUGCGUGCAGCACCGAUCACGCCCAGUAUUUUGGGUCAUGUUGCCAAAGAGGGACCCAAGGGUUGUAUUUAUGCCGAGAAAAAGAUGGCUAUGCUGUUAGCUACAAGCAACAUCCCAUUCACGUUUGCGGAUGUUUUCAACACGUCCAUGAAGGAUAUGUUCCCGGAUUCGGAGAUCGCUCGCCAGUACGCAAAUGGCAGAACAAUGGCACUGGAAUACUGCACGGUGCCAUCAUACAUGCCAACCCUCCCGAUUUUUCCGAGAGAAUCCCGAAUUUCGGUGCCCUUCCUGAAAGCCACCAUUCUCCAGAAUUUCUCCUAAUUUCACCCGGACAACAAAAGUGCUAAACCAUCCUUAACUGAGCUUCCGUUGGCGGGCGGACAAUAAUAACGGUGACACCUCGAAGUCAAGCGCGGGAAUCAGAACAAAGGAAGACGAAGCAGAAGAGAAAUGGCAACGACCAGCAAGAGAAGGAAAUAUGCUUGCAACACGGAUCACGACCCAGUAUUUUGGGGCAUGUUGCUGAAGGUAGACCCAAGGAUGGUGUUUAUGCCGAGACAAAGAUGGCUAUGCUGUUAGCUACAAGCUACAUGUCCCUGAAGGAUAUGUUCCCGGAUUGGGAGAUCGCUCGCCAGUAGGCAAAUGGCAGAACAAAGGCUCAAAUAGUGAAAGGUGCCAUUGCCCAGAAUUGGACUGUGCCUAAACCAACCCAUUGGUCUGAUGUGUGAUGAAAGCACAAACAGAAACUCAGAUAAAGAGUUUGUGAUAUUGGCCAGGGUUUUCUCUCCGAAAACUCAGAAGGGGGUGACGAGGUCCAGCUGGCCACAGGAUGUGGCAUUAGGGCUCUAGGCCAGCCUGUUGAUCACAUCCUCAGCAGCAUUUAUGCUCUUUGACGUCAGUGCCAAACAUGCUGAAAUCUUCAAAGAGUUUGUGCAGUUCAGACUCAGAGACUGAAGAUACUCCAAUACUGUGCAACCAGGUGGCCCAGCUUGCUGACUUGUUUUGGCAUAAACCGGGUGCUCAACCAGUGGGAUGCACAGCAGGCCAGUAUGAGGAUGUGGAGAAGCCUGACAAGGUGAAGAUGCUGGCAGAGCAUUUAACCAGCAAGAAGACAAAGUUCUUCUUCCUCUUCCAGGUUCUGAAGCCACUGGCAGAGUUCAAGGUUAUUUCAGGCUGAAGGAGUGAUGGUCCAUUGGCUACACAAGGAGAUGACCAGCCUGGUGAGAAGAUUCAUGGGAAGAUUUUUCCCUGCCAGCCUUAUUGCUGACGUCCCACUGAAGGACAUGAAGUUCAUGGAUGCCAGCCUACAGUUGCCAGACAAAGAACUGUUUCUUGGAGUAGCUGCACAAAGCCUCUGGGGGGACAACAUGGAUGAACUUUCCUCUUCUGUCCCAAUGAUGAUCCAGGCAGUGAGAGACUUCUUUGUAGCUGUGGCCGCAAAGAUGAUGACCGCAUUCCCCCUCGACAACAUCAUCCUCCAAAGCCUGACCGUGUUGGAUCCAGAGUCACGGCAUCAAUUUUCUCCAAACUCAGUUAUUGAGCUAGGGAAAAGUCUGCCGCAGCUGCGGUUGGACCUGGAUAGCCUUAGGGAAGAAUUAGUGGAGUACCAGGUGCUUGUUGUAUAGGAUGUUUCUGUUGAACCAUCACUACCAUCUGUUGCACAGAGCGGGUUCCCCAGUGAAUACUUUCACUCCUUCUUGAACUCAGUGGAAAUGAUCACUGUAGAAUUAACCUCGCCUGUGGAUGCUGUUAUGGCCUGCAAGCCAGAUGAGAAGAUGGUGUUGAACAAAGGCAGCUAUGACUCCACCAGCUCCAGGUUCUCUAACCCAAGUUACUCUGAGCUUUGUAGCCUCCUCCUAUUUCCUCACUCACUGCUGGGAAUCUGAAGCCCUGUGCUACUUUUCUACUUUUGCAAGCUAUAAAAUUAUAGCUCCUCUGAUGAGACUCCUCUCUCCUGUCCCCAGGACAGUAAAAAUCUUCAUGAGUGAAGACGACAUUGACUUUAGAGCUGGAAUAUAAAGUAGACCCCAAUAUUUCGCUUCACAUAAACAUCGUCAUUUAUUCCCUCUUACUGUGGCUGUUUUUCUUCCACCACGAUAAAAUCACACUUCAUGCAGAGCUCUCUCUCUCUGAGGAAGAGUUUCCCAUCUAAAAAUCUGUUUUCUGCAUUAUUCUCUUGCUUAUUACCCACCAGUCUAACGUUGUUUACAGCACUGUCGGACGUUAUUACUGUUCAAUGCUGAGCAAACUUUUUAAAAUGAUGCAAAAUUGCAUACUGCUUAGCUGUACUUUGCUCUGCUUCAAUUCAGCAGCAUCAGGUAACGUUCGCUUGUUGAUUCAUGGUUUUCUCCAGUUUUUGUUCUACUGCAGAAUAUUUUUAAGGUUGUUUGUUUAAAAAAAAAAAAAACCCAGGGCAGGAAAAUCUCCUUCAUGUUUUUGUGUUUUAUCCCCAGUUGACACAAAGACAUCUGCUGUAAUGUUUACACCUUUGAUAAAGUCUUGCAAGUGUCAGCUUUCUUUUUUAUAAAUAUAUAUAAAUUUAAAAAAAACCCGGGGAAAUACUUACUUGGAUCAGUCCUUGGGCUAGUUUCUCCUGAAAAAAAUACAUUAAAAAAAAACAAAAAAACCAAAACCACAAGUACUUCCAACAAACAUUGCUGCCCAGGUCAACGAAACUGACGGUGUAAUAACUUCAUGCCUCAUCCCACACAUACCUUCAGCUGUUCCUCUUGUCUUUUUUUCUGAGGGUGUCUGUCGGUGAGCUUCGGUGUUUUUUUUCUUGCUGUUUUCUGACCAAUUGCUCCCGGAUCCUCCAGCGCAGCUUUCGGUCAUCCCGCUCCCCCGGUGGAGGAUGUUGGUCCCACCCCUGUUUAUACUCGUGGUAUCUUGCCACCGGGGGAGCUGCCGCCUCCACAUCUCCUGGUAUUCCUGGUACCUGCAGACAUGAGAAAAACCAGUGAGCAAACAUGUAACUAUCACAUCAAUGUGAAUCUGAUGGGUGUGAUUUUUCCAGACUGAAGGAAGUGCAAACAGAAUGUUACAGAACUGUUAUACAGCAUGAGGGUAAUCAAUUCAAAUUACUGUCCUUUAUUUGGCAUAAUUA